UACGUAGGAUCCGAGCGUUAUCCGGAUUUAUUGGGUUUAAAGGGUGCGUAGGCGGCCUUGUAAGUCAGGGGUGAAAGACGGUAGCUUAACUAUCGCAGUGCCUUUGAUACUGAUGGGCUUGAAUGUACUUGAGGUAGGCGGAAUGUGACAAGUAGCGGUGAAAUGCAUAGAUAUGUCACAGAACACCAAUUGCGAAGGCAGCUUACUAAAGUAUGAUUGACGCUGAGGCACGAAAGCGUGGGGAUCAAACAGG
rnacentral:rRNA from 1 species